UGAUUCCCCUAGUAACGGCGAGUGAAGAGGGAAAAGCUCAAAGUUGGAACCUGGCUGCCCUAGGCAGUCCGGAUUGUAAACUAAAGAGCGUGAUUCCAGGCAAGCCGGUUGACCAAGUCCUUUGGAAUGAGGCGCCACUGAGGGUGAGAGCCCCGUAAGUCGACUGAGCAUUUGUCUUUUGUGUUUCGCGUUCAAAGAGUCAGGUUGUUUGGGAAUGCAGCCUAAAGCUGGUGGUAAAUCCCACCUAAAGCUAAAUACAGGCGAGAGACCGAUAGCGAACAAGUACCGUGAGGGAAAGAUGAAAAGAACUUUGAAAAGAGAGUUAAACAGUAUGUGAAAUUGCCAAGAGGGAAGCAUUUGGAGUUAGAUUGACUAGGAGUUAAUCAGCUUGGUCUUUGGACUGGGUGUACUUGACUUCUAUUGGUCUGCCAAUAGCAGUUAGUCCUAGUGGAAAAAACCAGAGGGAAGGUAGUCCUUCGGGAUGUUUAUAGACCUUUGGAAAAUACACUGGGAUUGACUGAGGAAUGCAGUAGAUGCCACUAAGGCUUCGUCUAGUGGGUGCUAGGCAAAGGUACUUGGUAUUUUCAGCUUGCUGAUGUGCUAGGUUACUCGAGUCUAGUCGCCUACUAGAACUGUAAUC
rnacentral:rRNA from 1 species